UGUAUCUGAAGUCUGACGAGGAUGAGAACCUCCGGGGGCAAGAGGUUCGACCCGAGCGAAGCGAGAGAACGUUGCUUCAGCAACGGCCCGCAGGGCGAGCCACGCAGUGGCGAGUCAUCCUCUAUCACCGACCA
rnacentral:sRNA from 1 species